GACGUACUCUCUCCGUUCGGAAUUACUUGUCGCAGAAAUGGAUGUAUCUAGACAUAUUUUAGUUCUAGAUACAUCCAUUUUCGAGACAAGUAAUUCCGAACGGAGGGAGUAUAUG
rnacentral:pre_miRNA from 1 species